GGAAGGUUCCCAUAACGGUAUUGGAGAGGAUUGCUAAUCCUUCGGUCGGUGUGAAUCGGCUUGUGGGUUCGAAUCCCACACCUUCCGC
rnacentral:tRNA from 1 species